UACGAAGGGGGGCUAGCGUUGUUCGGAAUUACUGGGCGUAAAGCGUGCGCAGGCGGCUUCUCAAGUCAGGGGUGAAAGCCCAGAGCUCAACUCUGGAAUUGCCUUUGAGACUGAGUGGCUUGAGUACGAGAGAGGUGAGUGGAAUUCCCAGUGUAGAGGUGAAAUUCGUAGAUAUUGGGAAGAACACCGGUGGCGAAGGCGGCUCACUGGCUCGUAACUGACGCUCGUGCACGACAGCGUGGGGAGCAAACAGG
rnacentral:rRNA from 1 species